rnacentral:tRNA from 1 species
UUACUUGGCCUUAUAAUNCCAAGACUAGCAAUUCGGAAACUACUGUUGUAAUUCAACUAUAAAAGCC